rnacentral:rRNA from 1 species
AGGACGAACGCUGGCGGCGUGCUUAACACAUGCAAGUCGAGCGGAAAGGCCCUUCGGGGUACUCGAGCGGCGAACGGGUGAGUAACACGUGAGUAAUCUGCCCCUAGCUCUGGGAUAGGCUCCGGGAAACCGGGAUUAAUACCGGAUACGACCACCUUAGACAUCUUUUGUGGUGGAAAGAAUUUCGGCUAGGGAUGAGCUCGGCGGCCUAUCAGCUUGUUGGUGGGGUAACGGCCUACCAAGGCGACGACGGGUA